rnacentral:rRNA from 1 species
AUUGAACGCUGGCGGCAGGCCUAACACAUGCAAGUCGAGCGGAUGAAGGGAGCUUGCUCCUGGAUUCAGCGGCGGACGGGUGAGUAAUGCCUAGGAAUCUGCCUGGUAGCGGGGGAUAACGUCCGGAAACGGGCGCUAAUACCGCAUACGUCCUGAGGGAGAAAGUGGGGGAUCUUCGGACCUCACGCUAUCAGAUGAGCCUAGGUCGGAUUAGCUAGUUGGUGGGGUAAAGGCCUACCAAGGCGACGAUCCGUAACUGGUCUGAGAGGAUGAUCAGUCACACUGGAACUGAGACACGGUCCAGACUCCUACGGGAGGCAGCAGUGGGGAAUAUUGGACAAUGGGCGAAAGCCUGAUCCAGCCAUGCCGCGUGUGUGAAGAAGGUCUUCGGAUUGUAAAGCACUUUAAGUUGGGAGGAAGGGCAGUAAGUUAAUACCUUGCUGUUUUGACGUUACCAACAGAGUAAGCACCGGCUAACUUCGUG